GUCUAUGGCCAUAGCACCCUGAAUGUGCCUGAUCUUGUCUGGUCUCGAAGGCUAAGCAUGAUUGGGCCUGGUUAGUACUUGGAUGGAAGACAGAUCUUCAGAAAAGGCUGCUCAGGGACA
rnacentral:rRNA from 1 species